CGCUAUCACUCCUACGGGAGGCAGCAGUGGGGAAUAUUGCACAAUGGGGGAAAACCCUGAUGCAGCCAUGCCGCGUGUGUGAAGAAGGCCUUCGGGUUGUAAAGCACUUUCAGUAGGGAGGAAGGUAGUGUAGUUAACACCUGCAUUAUUUGACGUUACCUACAGAAGAAGCACCGGCUAACUCCGUGCCAGCAGCCGCGGUAAUACGGAGGGUGCGAGCGUUAAUCGGAAUUACUGGGCGUAAAAGCGCAUGCAGGCGGCCUGUUAAGUCAGAUGUGAAAGCCCGGGGCUUAACCUCGGAAUUGCAUUUGAAACUGGCAGGCUAGAGUCUUGUAGAGGGGGUAGAAUUUCAGGUGUAGCGGUGAAAUGCGUAGAGAUCUGAAGGAAUACCAGUGGCGAAGGCGGCCCCCUGGACAAAGACUGACGCUCAGAUGCGAAAGCGUGGGGAGCAAACAGGAUUAGAUACCCUGGUAG
rnacentral:rRNA from 1 species